UCUCCGUUGGUGAACCAGCGGAGGGAUCAUUACCGAGUUUACAACUCCAAACCCCAUGUGAACCCUACCAAUCGUCGCUUCGGCGGGAUGCCCCGGGCGCGGGCCGCAAGGCCUCAGCCCCGGAACCAGGCGCCCGCCGGAGGCCCAAACCAAACUCUUGUUUUUGUAGAAUCUUCUGAGUGGCCUUUUAGGCAAAAAAUGAAUCAAAACUUUCAACAACGGAUCUCUUGGUUCUG
rnacentral:misc_RNA from 1 species